ensembl:misc_RNA 7SK 7SK RNA
CAAUAGGGCGAUCUGGCUGCGACAUCUGUCACCCCAUUGAUUGCCAGGGUUGACUCGGCUUAUCUGGCUGGCUAGGCAGAUGUCCCCUUCCUUCCUCACCGCUCCAUGUGUGUCCCUCCCGAAGCUGCAUGCUCGGUCAAAGAGGAUGACCUUCCCAGAAUAGAGGAGGCCCGGUCUUCGGUCAAGGGUAUACGAGUAGCUGCGCUCUCCUGCUAGAACCUCCAAACAAGGCCUCACACCUGAUUUUCUAAAGUCUAAAGAUUUAUGUAAUUGGCCUAUAGCCCUAACAAAGGAGCCUUCUU